rnacentral:rRNA from 1 species
GACCUCGAUGUUGAAUUAAAUUUCUUUAAUUCGCAAUAGAAUUUUAAGAAGGUCUGUUCGACCUAUAAAUAUUUACAUGAUUUGAGUUCAAACCGGUAUAAGCCAGGUUGGUUUCUAUCUUUUUAAUUUAUUUUCUAGUACGAAAGGACAAAAAAUAAUAUUUUAAAUAUUUUAUUGGCAGAUAAAUGCACUAGAUUUAGAAUCUAAUAAAACUAAAAAUUUCUUUAGUAAAUUCUAUUUUUCCUAUAAUUAGAAUUUUAAUUAGAGUAGCUUUUUAUACAAUUUUAGAACGAAAAAUAUUAGGAUAUAUU